GAUGAACGCUGGCGGCGUGCUUAACACAUGCAAGUCGAACGGUGAAGCAGGAGCUUGCUCUUGUGGAUCAGUGGCGAACGGGUGAGUAACACGUGAGCAACCUGCCCCUGACUCUGGGAUAAGCGCUGGAAACGGCGUCUAAUACGGGAUAUGUGCUGUGACCGCAUGGUCUGCAUCUGGAAAGAAUUUCGGGUGGGGAUGGGCUCGCGGCCUAUCAGCUCGUUGGUGAGGUAAUGGCUCACCAAGGCGUCGACGGGUAGCCGGCCUGAGAGGAUGACCGGCCACACUGGGACGGAGACACGGCCCAGACUCAUACGGGAGGCAGCAGUGGGGAAUAUUGCACAAUGCGCGGAAGCCUGAUGCAGCAACGCCGCGUGAGGGAUGACGGCCUUCGGGUUGUAAACCUCUUUUAGCAGGGAAGAAGCGAAAGUGACGGUACCUGCAGAAAAAGCACCGGCUAACUACGUGCCAGCCGCCGCAGUAA
rnacentral:rRNA from 1 species